ACAUAACUGAUGCCUCCGCGUAUCGACUUUGUGCGCAUUUUAGCUAUUAUGUGUUCUUUUAAUUAAAAUGAUUCUUUUUAAGAUUCAUCUAUUAAAAAUUGGCUUCGGCAUAAUUUUUUUUGAUGAUCUUGUUACUUUGAGUAAAUUAGAGUGUUCAAAGCAAACAGAUAUAGCAUUUGUGCGUUUGAAUACUACAGCAUGGAAUAACAAAAUUGAACAAGUCAGAAUUUUUUUGUUCUUUUUUCUUAUUUUGGCUUAGUUACGAUUAAUAGGAGUAGCUUGGGGGCAUUUGUAUUCAGAUGUCAGAGGUGAAAUUCUUAGAUUUUCUGGAGACAAACAACUGCGAAAGCAUUUGCCUAAAAUACUUCCAUUAAUCAAGAACGAAAGUUAAGGGAGUGAAGACGAUCAGAUACCGUCGUAAUCUUAACCAUAAACUAUGCCGACUAGGCUUUGGAUGAAAGAUUUUAAAAUAAGAGUUUUUCUUUUCUCUCCGGAGAUUAGAACUCUUAGAUUGCUUCCUUCAGUGCCUUAUGAGAAAUCAAAGUCUUUGGGUUCUGGGGCGAGUAUUCGCGCAAGCGAGAAAGUUAAAAGAAUUGACGGAAGGGCACCACCAGGCGUGGAGCUUGCGGCUUAAUUUGACUCAACACGGGAAAACUCACUAGUUUAAGACAAGAGUAGGAUUGACAGAUUAAUAGCUCUUUCUUGAUUUCUUGGAUGGUGAUGCAUGGGCCGUUUUUAGUUCGUGAAUAUGAUUUGUCUGGUUAAUUCCGAUAACGAACGAGAUCUUAACCUGCUAAUUAGCGGCAAAUACGAUAUAUUCUUAUGUAGAAUUGAAUAUAGUGGAUUUGUUAGAUUUUGAAGAAAAUGUUGGAAUUACGGUAAAUGUGAUUCCUUUCCCUUUUCUACUUAAUUUACAUUUCCAUCUAUUUCUUUUUUGCGUAUGAAUGUAUUUGCUUGAUUGUAAAGCUUCUUAGAGGAACGAUGUGUG
rnacentral:rRNA from 1 species